UUUGAUAUUUACUCACUGGAA
rnacentral:piRNA from 1 species